UACGAAGGGGGCUAGCGUUGCUCGGAAUCACUGGGCGUAAAGCGCACGUAGGCGGAUUGCUAAGUCAGGGGUGAAAUCCUGGAGCUCAACUCCAGAACUGCCUUUGAUACUGGCAAUCUCGAGUCCGGGAGAGGUGAGUGGAACUGCGAGUGUAGAGGUGAAAUUCGUAGAUAUCGUAAGGAAGACCAGUGGCGAAGGCGGGUCGCUGGACAGUUCCUGACGCUGAGGCACGAAGGCCAGGGGGAGCGAAACGGG
rnacentral:rRNA from 1 species